AAAAUUUGAUCUCAGUAAAGUCCAAUUCAUAACAUCAAGAUCUUCUGUAUGUUUUGUCCAUUCACUGAGGUUUGCACUCGGAAUACGAACACAACUACAGUAAAUUUUCUAGAUUUAAAUUAAUUUACCAUAGAACUAACGUAAACCGUAAAAAAGUAAAGCAACUUAAUUGAUCAAUCAAAAAGGAGGAUAUUUUUUAUUUGAGGAGGACACGAGGAGGACAUUUACGCUAGGAGGACAGCAUACAUGAAAGGAGGACUGUCCUCCUCAAAGGAGUACGUCUGGUCACCUUACAACUGAAAGCCUUGAUCUUCAUCCCUACAAUAGGUGAAAACUGCUAUGUCCAAACAUUACCUUCAGCUUUGCAGUUUCUAGAUAUCUGAAACAUGCCAGAUCUGCAUAACAGGAAUGUCAAAGAGGUUCUACCCAAAACACGCCCACAUGGCCAUCCUAAUAUCAAGAUUUUUCAAAAUUUCUAUAACAAAAAAGAUGAAAAAACCAAUAAAAUUUCAGGAGCAUAGUGUUAAGAGUUCUGUAGAUGAUUAUGAGAUCUCUUGAAACAACAGAAUGUUUAAUAAAGAUUUUUAACUUUCCUAAUAGUAAAAUUACAAUUAUUACUAAACAGUAAGUUGAAGUAAGUUUUAAAUUAAGAAAAUGCAACUAACACCGAAAGAAAAAUGAAAGUUACUGAAAAUAAAAAACUUUAUUGCAGUACCUACAUACACUUUCUACAUCUAAUUUUGUUUAUUGAUCACAUUCAUUUACUUGAAAAAGUAUCAGGCCUAUGAAUCGUCGUCUGGAAACAGCUAACCACACACCAACCUUCAUUGCGUGUGAUGGUGUUUCUUCAAAAGCCCUAACAGAUGAAACCAGGCUUCAUCAGAAAAGAACGACAAAUCGAGAAUCCCGUUAUCGUCCAUAUCAGCUUGAAACCAACUACAAUACCCAACGCGGCAAGGAAAAUCAGCUGGUUGCAGCUCCUGAACCAACAAAAUCUUGUAUGGAUGCAUAUGUAACUUCUCUUUUACGAUUUUCUGACAUGGGCUGUAUGGUACUCCGGACAGUAAAGAUUUUUGACAAA